ensembl:lincRNA
AUGUUGGUGGACAUUGAGGCAUGGUUGCCUGACCUCUACCUCCCCAAGGAAGGGGUUGGGCCUGGGUCUUCAUGUGAGCCCAAACAGGUGGUUGAAACUGGGGCAUGUUUGGAGUCGAAGGUCGGGACUGGUCCUGAAUCUCCACGUGACCUUGAGGUUGUGGUGGUUGACACUGGGACAUGGAUGGAGUCUGGAGUAGGGGUGGAACCUGGGUCUUCAUGUGAGCCCAAACAGGUGGUUGAAACUGGGGCAUGUUUGGAGUCGAAGGUCGGGACUGGUCCUGAAUCUCCACGUGACCUUGAGGUUGUGGUGGUUGACACUGGGACAUGGAUGGAGUCUGGAGUAGGGGUGGAACCUGGGUCUUCAUGUGAGCCCAAACAGGUGGUUGAAACUGGGGCAUGUUUGGAGUCGAAGGUCGGGACUGGUCCUGAAUCUCCACGUGACCUUGAGGUUGUGGUGGUUGACACUGGGACAUGGAUGGAGUCUGGAGUAGGGGUGGAACCUGGGUCUUCAUGUGGGCCUGAAGUGGUACUUGAAUGUGAGGCAUGGUUUGAGCCAAGAGUUGGGAUUGGACCUGGGUCUCCAUGUGAGUUUGAGGUGGUGGUUGAAACUGGGGUAUGUUUGGAGUCUAGGUAUACCAUGGGCAGGUAUCACUUUGCAGUUGAAUCUGAGCAAAGUUAAACCAUGUGUCCUAUGUGUACUGGAGGGCUCACCCCUCCCAAUCCAGGUGCUAUUAGUCCAAUACAGCCCACACACCCCUUUGGUACAGAGUCUUUUCCAGGCCCCUCACAGCUACAUUCUACACACGGAAUCUGGGAAGUAUCUGGAUUCUGCUGUCCUUCUCAGAAGCCUCCCUGUGGGCUCUGUUUCUCAAGGAAGAAGUCCAGCCACUGGCCCGCUCCGAGUCUGUGGAGCUGGGCCUCAUGGCCAGAGAGGUGGGGACCAACUCUGGGGGCACUCAUGGCUGGAUGUCAGAACUCACCUUUCAAAGCUCCAUUUCUCUUGCUGCUCCUGCUUCUUCCCCUUCGUUCCAUUCGAUGCUGAGAGAGAGAGACAAAAUGACAGCUUAAGACCCAAAUCUCAGUCUCCCCUCUCUAGACAAGCAUCAGGCACUAGUGUCCAUACAUAAUAUGACUUUCUACAUUUCACUGACAGAGCUCUGUGAUGUUUCUUUCCUUUCACUCAUUUUUAAAGUGGAUAAAAUAUUUUCUGUUUUCCUUCUUUGAAGAACAAAAGAUAAUUUUCAAUGUGAGAGGUACUUCUUUCGUCACUGUUCCUCUACUCAAGAAAUACACACAUUCUCAGACUGUGGGUGAAUCUUAGCUCCAUCAGGUAGAUGGAACUUCUUGAUACCAGCCCCUGCUCUGAGGCUCUUGGGGCUUCAGCAUUGCCAGAAGAUCAGCCCUGAGACACGGUUCACAGCUGCUGAACUAGUGCUUAGAGAGUCCUGUCCUCCUCCUGAGAUUGAACUAAGUAUCCAAUCCUCAACCCCUGGUCACUUUGUUUGGGAUAUGCCCUGGAGCCCCUGCCACACCUGGACGCCUGAUCUGAGAUCUUUGGGUAGAAAUCCUAGUGUUCACUCUAUCUCCUGCCCGGCCUGGUUUGUCCCUAGAGGCAUGAUGUUCUAUUCUUCCCUGGAAAUAGAUGUCCUGUUCUUUCCCACCGCAAGAAUCUCUGGUUGAUUCAGAAAAGUAGAAAUCAUAAUAAAAAAGAUUUCAUAUGCUUGUGAGUCUGGACCAAGGGUUCCUUACCUUUCUGAUGUUUCCAUGUUUCCUAAGGGGAGGAAAGGAUGGGUUAUUCUCCAGGUAGGGAAGGAUCAGGAAAAAGAGCCCCAGUCCAAACAGAAAGGCGAGGAUGGUAUCGAUCGCCCAAAAAGGGGAGCUGGAGUUCAGCCAAGUAUCAAAAGUACUUUUCAGAGAAAGGGGAGGAUUCUUCUUCCUCUGAAUCAUACUGCUGCCUUUAGGAAACUGAGCACAGGGUGUGCACUUGGGGACUAAAGUACUAGGCUCACAUCAUAGAGCUGUGGUCUGGUCACAAAGGGCCCUUGGGAGUAAGAGGGAGUAGCAGAGGAGGAGGCUGGACUAUAGCCCCUCCCUAACCAUCCAGCCCCGCAGCCUCAUUCAUCUCCCUUCCACUGAGCCUUCCCAUCCUACCUUCUCAUCCUGUUAAGAGACAUUAGUCAAGUGUUGCUUCUUUCUCCCUAGAACUCAGAGAAUUCCAGGUUCCUUUGAUAUCAUUGUUUGAGUCCCAUCAAUAUUUUAAACAAUCUGGAGUUCUCCCUGUAACUUUGGUUAAUCCCAGAUAUUUUUACUUUUAUGAUAUUUUUUUAAAAAUUUCAGUUAAUUUUGACUAUAUUCAACUACUAGGAAUUAAAAGUUAGUAAAAAAUUUUUGAAAUUUACAAGGCUAUGAAAUAUAAAGCAAAUUAAAAUAAACCUUCAGAGUAAAUUUUUAAUAAGUUUCCAGCAUCCUUGUUUUCUGAACUCAAUACACUGAACAAAAAGUUUUGGAACACUGUACAGAUACACAAACAUCCUUUAAACAAAUCAGCCCAGUGUUUUCAAAUCUAAGAACCAAGUUUUUUCUUUUUUUUCAGUUCAAAUGUUAUCUUUCAGUAUUUUUUAUAUGUUGGACUUCUAGCAGUCAGUUCUCCCAGCCUCUGUUUAUCUGGGAAUAUUUUUAUUUUGCCAUCUUUUCUGAUUUAAUAGACAUGGAAUCCUUGGGUGACAAUUUUUUCUUUCAGAUCUGUUAAUGUGGCAUCUCACAGCCUUCCCUCUGCCGUUUCUGACUGGAAGUCAGUGAUUAAUCUUAUUGUGGUCUCUUCAUAUAUGGAGAGGAGAAGGAAAUGGCAGUCCACUCCAGUGUUCCUGCCUGGAGAGUCCCAUGGACAGAGGAGCUUGGUAGGCUGCCCUCUGUGGGGUCACACAGAGUCACGACUGAAGUGACUUAGCAGCAGCAGCACCAUAUAUGGAGAACAGUUUUUCUCCGGCUACUGUUUUUCCUUUGUUUUUCCACAGCUUGACCAAGAUGUGUCUUAGAGUGGAUCUGUUUCAUUUUUCUAGAGGUGAACUCUGAAUCUGGAGAGUGUUUUUCAUCAAAAUUUUAUAAACUUUCAGCCAUUAUGUCUACAAGUAAUUUUAUUCUGUCCCCUUUCCUCUCCCUUCUUUCUCAGAGUCUCUUUCCUUCCACAUUUGAUGGUGUGCUGAAUGGAUGCCGUAGAUCAUUUCCCCUCAACAUUUUUUCUCUUUGUAUUUUACAUUGAUUUCCUGAAUUCAUCUUCAAGGUUAUGGAUUCUUUCUGCUACCAUCUCAAGUGUGCUAUUGAACCUGUCUAUUUUUCAUUUUAAUAAUUAUAGUUUUCAAUUCUAGGAUUUUUAUUAGUUUACU